rnacentral:rRNA from 1 species
CGAGUGGGCGUCCGGCGAAAACUGCUCGGCUUGGGACCGGAAGGUCCAAGGGGUACGUCCGGGGUAGGAGUGAAAUCCCGUAAUCCUGGACGGACCACCGAUGGCGAAAGCACCUUGGAAGGACGGAUCCGACAGUGAGGGACGAAAGCUAGGGUCUCGAACCGGAUUAGAUACCCGGGUAGUCCUAGCCGUAAACGAUGCUCGCUAGGUGUGGCGCAGGCUACGAGCCUGCGCUGUGCCGUAGGGAAGCCGUGAAGCGAGCCGCCUGGGAAGUACGUCUGCAAGGAUGAAACUUAAAGGAAUUGGCGGGGGAGCACUACAACCGGAGGAGCCUGCGGUUUAAUUGGACUCAACGCCGGACAUCUCACCAGCUCCGACAGCAGUAAUGACGGUCAGGUUGAUGACCUUACCCGACGCUGCUGAGAGGAGGUGCAUGGCCGCCGUCAGCUCGUACCGUGAGGCGUCCUGUUAAGUCAGGCAACGAGCGAGACCCGCACCUCUAGUUGCCAGCAGCAUCUUGCGAUGGCUGGGUACACUAGGGGGACUGCCGUCGCUAAGACGGAGGAAGGAACGGGCAACGGUAGGUCAGCA